rnacentral:rRNA from 1 species
AUUGAACGCUGGCGGCAGGCCUAACACAUGCAAGUCGAACGAGUGGCGGACGGGUGGGUAAUGUCUGGGAAACUGCCUGAUGGAGGGGGAUGACUACUGGAAACGGUAGCUAAUACCGCAUACCAUCGGAUGUGCCCAGGUGGGAUUAGCUAGUCGGUGGGGUAACGGCUCACCUAGGCGACGAUGCCUAGCUGGUCUGAGAGGAUGACCAGCCACACUGGAACUGAGACACGGUCCAGACUCCUACGGGAGGCAGCAGUGGGGAAUAUUGCACAAUGGGCGCAAGCCUGAUCGAGCCAUGCCGCGUGUAUGAAGAAGGCCUUCGGGUUGUAAAGUACUGUCGGCGGGGAGGCGUUACCCGCAGAAGAAGCACCGGCUAACUCCGUGCCAGCAGCCGCGGUAAUUC